rnacentral:piRNA from 1 species
UGGAAAGCUGUCUGUGAGGUUGCUCGG